rnacentral:rRNA from 1 species
AUGAGUUGUUUAAGCUGGAACUGCUGGGGGCUUGGGAACCCCGCGGCAGUUCAUGAGCUUCACAACAUUGUGAAGCGGGAAGGGCCCGAUCUCCUGUUUGUUAUGGAGACGAAAAUUUCUGCACAAAGAGUGGAAGGUUUAAAACUCCUACUAGGGUUUGCAGGCUGCUUUGCAGUUAGCAGCGUUGGCCUAAGUGGGGGAAUUGGCAUGUUCUAG